rnacentral:rRNA from 1 species
UACGUAGGGGGCUAGCGUUGUCCGGAAUCAUUGGGCGUAAAGAGCGUGUAGGCGGUCCGGUAAGUCCGCUGUGAAAGUCGGGGGCUCAACCCUCGAAUGCCGGUGGAUACUGUCGGGCUAGAGUGCGGAAGAGGCGAGUGGAAUUCCUGGUGUAGCGGUGAAAUGCGCAGAUAUCGAGAGGAACACCUGCGGCGAAGGCGGGUUGCUGGGCUGACACUGACGCUGAUGCGCGAAAGCCAGGGGAGCGAACGGG